rnacentral:rRNA from 1 species
UGCCAGCCGCCGCGGAAAUACGGAGGGGUCUAGCGUUGUUCGGAAUUACUGGGCGUAAAGCGCACGUAGGCGGCUUGGUAUGUCGGGUGUGAAAUCCCCGGGCUCAACCUGGGAACUGCAUCCGAAACUGCCUUGCUAGAGUAUGGGAGAGGGAAGUGGAAUUUCCGGUGUAGCGGUGAAAUGCGUAGAUAUCGGAAGGAACAUCAGUGGCGAAGGCGACUUCCUGGACCAAUACUGACGCUCAGGUGCGAAAGCGUGGGGAGCAAACAGGAUUAGAUA